rnacentral:rRNA from 1 species
GACAGAGGUGCCAAGCGUUAGGCGGAAUCACUGGGCUUAAAGCGUGUGUAGGCGGAUCGUUAAGUACCUUGUGAAAUCCCACGGCUCAACCGUGGAACUGCUGGGUAUACUGGCGAUCUUGAGCCACCUAGGGGCGAGCGGAACAAGCGGUGGAGCGGUGAAAUGCGUAGAUAUUACACAGAACACCGAUAGCGAAGGCAGCUUACUAAACUGAGAUUGACGCUCAUGCACGAAAGCGUGGGGAGCGAACAGG